UUCAUCUAUUUCGUUCAUUCUAUCCGUUUUAUAUUUAGAAAACAGUCGAAGCCCUCAUGAAAUUCCAACUUUUUGAAGACAGAUCACAGACGCACAGAAAAUGAAAAAUGAAACGAAGGCAAGCGCCAAGAAUUAAAAAAAAAUACGUUAAUAAUUCUUCUAUAGACAUUGAUGUGAUCGUGUGCAUAUGGCACAACAUUCAGUUGUUUAAGAUUACUCAAAGCGUCAACACAACACUGUUGGUUUUUGGAUAUUCUCCAUCGGAAGAACAUUUUGCUCCAAGAUAUCAAGAAUUCCUCCCUCAUUUCUGUGUUAGCCUAAAACGAUCAAAUCAUUAGCAAUUCAUUGCUGCAACGCUCUUUAUUUAGCAAUUGCUUGAGGCUGCGAUGAAGUUACGUCUAAUGCUGCUCAUUGUGCUGUUCGAGUUGCUAAUGACGCAUCAUGUCCAUUUAACUCAAGCCGGGCCCAUACUAGGACUACAAACAGAAUUCGAUGACAACUCCAAGGUACAGGGCAGAACCAAACCUAUAUUGGUGUACUGCGAUGAAAUUGGAAACCACUUGAACUGUAUGCUUUUCUGCAAAAAUUUGGGCCACACAUCUGGACAUUGUGGCGGUGAUUUCACUUGUAAUUGUUUUUAAAUGUUUGAUAAUUUUAAAUAGAAUAAGGUAAACUAGAUAUAAUACUAUUUUAAACGACAGUAUCCAUAAUUCUUAUUAACUAAAUGAAAUUAAUCAUUCAAAUCAUCAAAAAAUAAACAAAAAGUGAUUUCUAAUUUAAAGAAGGCCAAACAGAAAACAAAAACAAAAAAGAAAAAAAAUUUUAAAGCUAAUCUUAAACCAUGUGAGCGUAAUUGACAAUAUGAUAUUUAAACAAAAAUCAAUUUAUGUUUCCAUGGAUAUGUUUCUGAUCCCGUACAAUUAUAAAGCAAAACGAAAGAUUUUUUUGUGCUUGUAAACCUUGCCAUAUUUUUAUUAAAAUGCGUACUUUAAUCAAA